CCUUGCAAGAAUUGGCGCUAACACACCGGAUCCCAUCAGAACUCUGUAGUUAAGCGUGCUUAGGAUAAAGUAGUACUGGGAUGGGUGACCUCCUGGAAAGUCCUAGUGUUGCACCCU
rfam:Picea glauca, whole genome shotgun sequence.